CCCCCCUCCAGGUGCCGCUGCUGCUUCCAGGGCUGCGUUACGCCGUGGGGGCGUGGAUGGAAGUGGAAAAGGGGAGCCCCCCCCCAUAUCUGCAGGUCUCGGUGCUGCGCCGCGGCUGGGGCUCAGCGCUGCAGUCGCUGCUGGUCGCUCUGCGGCCCUGGGCGGAGCUGAGCACGGCGUGAGGCACCGCGUUAAUUAAUUAAUCGGCACCGCGUUAAUUAAUUAAUUAAUCGGCACGGGAAUAUAAUUAGUCGUGUCACCAUUCGCUGUGUCACCAUCACCCGUUAGCUGUAUCCCGAUCACUGUGUCACCGCUGUCACUCAUCUCUGUCACCCCAGAAAUAAAGAGCUACGGGUCCCUA